rnacentral:rRNA from 1 species
AAUCAACGCUGGCGGCGUGCCUAACACAUGCAAGUCGAGCGGGAAAAGGGGCUUCGGCCCCUGAGUAUAGCGGCGGACGGGUGAGUAACACGUGGGUAAUUUGCCCUUGGGUGUGGAAUAACUCAGGGAAACUUGAGCUAAUACCGCAUGACAUCCUCUUCGCACACGAGUCGAGGAUCAAAGCCGGGGACCUUUCGGGGCCUGGCGCCUGAGGAGAAGCCCGCGCCCGAUUAGCAGUUGGUGAGGUAAUGGCUCACCAAGGCUUCGAUCGGUAGCCGGCCUGAGAGGGCGGACGGCCACACUGGGACUGAGACACGGCCCAGACUCCUACGGGAGGCAGCAGUGGGAAUUUUUGUCAAUGGGGGAAACCCUGAACAAGCAACGCCGCGUGGAGGACGAAGACCUCGG